UUUUAAUUAGAGUGAAGCUGUGAGACUGGUCGAAAGUAAUUUAUUUUACAGUAGCUAUCGAAAUGUGGUCGUGUCUGUUCUGUUUAACAGUGACUGCCGUGCUAAUUACAAGUGCGGUUGG